UUAUAUGUACUCUUAGAUUUAUAAAUGCACAUAAUAAAAAUUAAACAUGAUCUAACUAAAAUUAUGAAGUUAGUGAUUUAAUAGUGUAUUACUAAAAACAUUAUUCAUGUAAGAACUGAUUGGAGUGGGGUAAACAAUAAAAAACAGAAUAUAAAUAGUUCAUUAUAUCCAAUGUGUUUGAAAUUGAAAGAGAAUUAAUCAAAGAUUUUGACUUUGUUAUUAAAAAUUGAAAAAAGCAUUAUGAAUGAAAAUUGUUACAUUUCCUUGGUUAGUAGUAAUCCCAAUAUAGAAGAGAGUUUGAUUGAUUGUUCAUGUUAUCAUGAUUUCAACUUUUUUGAAAGGAAAGAAAAGGAAAGACAAAUAAACUUGAUGAAAGUCAUAAACUUCAAACGGAAACUAUUAAUUUACUCACUAUUAGAGGAUGAGUUUAGACAUAGUAAGAUGUCAUGAGUGUGUAAUAUGGAAUUAGUGUUAAAUUUUGUACUUUAAUUGUUUUGUGAUGAAUUUUGAAUGAAUAUUCUUCAAGUUCAAACUGUUUAGGCUAUUUGAACACCUUGUAUGAAAGUUCCCUCCCAAAAUUAUUCUUAUUUUCAUCUUCAAAUGGUUCCUGCAAAAUCAAUUCUUGAGCAUGAAUAUAAAAGUACAUAAUAGAACUAAGCAUAAUGUCACCAAAAUGAUAUGAGGUCAGUAAUAUAAGAAUGUAUUACUAAAGACAAUUCAUGAAAGAAAUGAGAUAUUCGAAAAACAUAUAUUUACCUUUGAAACACAGACACAAGAUCCUUGAUAGAAGUGAGUGUCACCUAUAAAAAAGACCAAUCAAUAAUAAAAUGUAAGUCUCAAACAAAGUAACUAAUAAAUUGCAUAUAGAAAUAGUUCAUGGCCUCGAUCUUUGUUCAUAUAUUCAUGCCUCACUUAAAGAUUGAUUAUGGAUGAGAUCUAAUCAAAUGAGUUUUUUCUUUUUAGGUUCAAGAAAUCAAUCCUCAAGAAUUCAAUGUAAAACAGAAGUCAAUAGCAAAAAGGAAAUGAAGAUGGGUUCUCUUGUGUUGAAGAAAAGAGAAAGGAUAAAAAAAAUGAAAGGAUUGUAUUGUAUUUUUGAUGCACCAAUCCUUUGCUAUUUAUAGACAAAGGAAUUUGAAACUUGGGGGUAAAGUUUGUGUUGCAGAAUUACCUUCCCUAUUAAAUGACAAAACUAAAAAUUACCUUUCCUAGAUAAUACCUUCCCUAGUUAAAUCAACAACCACUAACAACAUUUAUCUAACAAAAUAUAUAAAAAGAUUAAUUAAUUGAAAAAAUGCAAAACACUAGUUUUUCAAACCU
rnacentral:lncRNA from 1 species